rnacentral:lncRNA from 12 species
AAAGUGAUCGCCACAGCUUGGCAGCCUAUCCUGCCGCACGAUCAUUUAUUUCUCACAGCACUCCAUCCUGGACGUUCUCAUUGAGCACAGAGCCUUUGAAGUCCAUGGUGCAUAUAAUUCAGCUGACAGUGGAUUGGAUUGGAGUCCAUCUAAAUAAAGCCCAAGCCUGAGCAGGCAUCAAAAUAUCUUCCCCAUAAUUGGUGUUUUGUUUUUUCUGAGUCAAAAUCUUCUUCCACUCUAACAAGCUCUCCAACUUUGCCUCGGUUUAUGUUUACCGAUUUGCCCACUGGAAGAAAACAGUUUCCUUGAACACAAGCACAAUGGAGGAGGGAUGACCUUUGCUGCAUCGCCUGGACCACAAGGAAGAGGAAACCAAAGACUUUUGACCAGUUCCAUGAAGCAGAAUGGAUUCAUUUCCAACCUGGAUCCUGCUAUAGUUUCUGAUGGAGUCUUGUGCAUUGGGAGAGGCAAAGAUACCGAUAUUAUAUUGAUCUCAUUUCUCAUCUGCAAAGUGUGUGAGUGCUGUGUAUUGCAUCUCUGUGUGUGUUUCAGUUACGUUUUAGAGAUUUUCAUAGUUGGCAGAGGCGCCUCGCUAUGCUUCUUGCUUGUCUUAUUCUGCUCCCCAUGAAACUGAUCAGGUUGCCAAGUUCUUACUGACAUCAAAGCAGGCCCUGGGCUCAGAUCAUCUCUGUGGGAUGCAGAGGAAGAGGAGAAAUAGCUCUUGCCCAGAGAACACUUCUCUGACCAAAUUCUUAGUAAAUUCUGGAGCUUAUCUGAUCGUUUUUUCACUGGCCAGGCUCCUAGUGAGGUCAAAUAUUACAGCUGACGUCAAUCGGCUUGUGGCCAGGUACUGGCCUAUGCUGGGCAAAAUCUCAGGGCGACAGAUCCACGCCCUUGGAUCUUAAUUUUUAUAGUUCCGUUUUGCAUGAUGUUCUUUGAAAUAGCAAUAAAACAGUAAACAGAUUACA